UAGGACUUUCCUGUAUGACUGCAUGGCUAAUAGCACUUCUCCUCGACACCGGUGCUGUUCUCGGAAUCCUAUCUAGAGGUCUGGCCACUGCAGCUGAGUGUCGCACUGGCUCAGGUGUGGCAACACAGGGGUGCUUGGUUUCUGGCUGGGCCCAGGGUUCUGCCUGCAGUGUGGAGCCGCAGUGGUGGGUCCCCAUGCGAGCCCCCGCCACUGUCUGCUGUCA
rnacentral:lncRNA from 1 species